rnacentral:lncRNA from 1 species
AGCAUAUGGAGGUUCCCAGGCUAGGGGUCAAAUUGGAGUUGUAAAUGUCAGCCUUCACCACAGCCACAGCAACUCGAGAUCAGAGCCACGUCUGCAACCUACACCACAGCUCAAGGCAACGCCAGAUCCUUAACCCACUGAACGAGGCCAGGAAACGAACCCACGUCCUCAUGGAUGCUAGUCUGGUUUGUUAACCACUGAGCCAGGACAGGAACUCCCCCAUUUCUAAUUUUUAUGCCAUUUCAUGCCUUUGCACCGUCUCAAGGAUGAGAUGGGCUGUCAGCUGCUUCCCAUUUGAAGGUAAUUCAAUAUUCAAAAUGGGUUUAUGGGGUUGUAUAAAACUAUACACUGGGUGAGAGCCAGAUGCCAAAGCAGAUAAAACAUAGUCCCAGUUCUAAGAUUCCAGCCUAGCAAGAGAAACGUACAAAAUUAAGUGCAAAGUGUCACAAGGGAGCAAAAUUACCCGGCCCUCAGCCAAGCCUAGGUCCAACUUGCAUUCAAAUAGGGCCUCACCCAGCUGACUGCUCACUUCUGCUGAAGAUUCUCCAGAGGUGCCUGUCUCACAAGGAGACAAAUACAGGCAGGCCCUGGCACCGUGGGAAUGCCCAGCCUCUCCCAGGGACGGUGCACUGAGGAAAUCACAUAUGUCUCUGACCACCGUUCUCAAACCAGGAUGCAGGGCUCUGGCUCACCAGGGGCAUCCUUGCAGCCACAGUGCUUUGUUGCAGAGAAACACAAUUCAAAAGGACUUGCCAAGCCAGGCUGGCAUUUGAGUAAUUAUAUUAAUGAAUCUCUGAGUUUCAAAAUCUAAUAUUAGACGGUGGCAUGAGGACCAUCAUCCUCAGUUACUGUCCCACGUGGCCAGGAAUGCUCCUGGGCAGCAGCAUGGCUUGAACAGACCCUGUGUGUGUGUGUGUGUGUGUGUGUGUGUGUGUGCGCGGGCCUCUCAUUUGACCAUAUCUCUCGGGCUGGCAAUACCCUGAGGGUUACUACUCUGUGGAGCAAUGGCCUUUGUGUUCAAAGCCAGCACUGCUCCCCACAGAGUUCCCCUUGGCACGGCAGGCAGGACUUGCCUGCAAACCCAUGGGCCCUGAUUUCCCAUACGUGCUCAUUAGCUGUCUCAAUCCCAAAUCCAAACUCAAAACUUGGGCAUGACACACAAGGGGCAGCUGAUCCUCCUGCUCUGGCCAACUACUUGGUGCAGACCAGACCACUGCACCGCCAUGUUGGCCGUCAUCUUCGGGCCCUGUCUCAGGUCAGCAGAAAUGAUGACCCAGUUAGCCACACUAUGCAUGUGGUCAGGACCAGUGGGGACCAAGUAAACUGCAGCUAGGUAGUAAACUAAACAGAAAGAAAGAAUUUGCUCUACGCUUGUGAUUACAUUUCACGUAUGCCAUGCAAAAUGUAAUCUGCUAUAAAUGAUAUGGGGUAGCUUAGAAUCCAGAUUCCUGUAAACUCCACAUGACAGAACAGGAUUCAGCUCCCUCAUGUGUUCCAUCUGUGAAGUCUCUUUGGGUGACAGAGACUGUCCCUGGUUACUGCGUCUGAGAAAUGGGCUUUUGUGGAAAUGAGUUUUCAUCCUGGGACUGGUACACUCAGACGGCCUCAUGGCCCAGAGACUGCAGUGGUCUGUUCAGGUAUGUGUGGGAAGAGCUGGCCUAAAAGAUGAGGGAAGCAGGCAAGUCUUGCCUCUCAGAAACUCUUUGGUGGGCUAUGAGGGAUAGCCGUUUAAUGAUUCUUCCAUUACUAUUAUUUUUUUAAUAACAGGCUAGAUCCACAUCAGUGCCACACUGCCAGAUGGGGCUUACUCUCAGCACCGUCUGAACUGCAAAAAGACUGAGCUUUGAAAGAGCAAAAGACCCUCUCAGAAGUCCUGCAAUUUCCUAAAAAAGAUCUCCCAAGCCCAGAACCCUACACACAGCCAAUCGAAACGUGGAAAAUAGAACUGUAAGAAAUUCAGAAAAUAGGCUAGUUGGGGGUUGGGGGCCUCCACUAGCAGAGGCAAGAGAGGGCUGUUGUAAGGAGAGACACACUAGCUCUGUUUACCCACCUCCAAGGCAGGGCUUCUCGGCUGAACCACUACAGACAAUCCACGACUUCUGGUGAUUCACCUCACGACUUUUGACUUUAUAUGGUGAGAAGAAAUAUGCAUUCAAUAGAAACUAUAUUUAAAAUUUAAAAUUUUGAUCUUUUCCUGCGCUAGUGAUAUGCAGUACGAUACUCUGAUAUUCCCUUGUGAUUCUGGGCAGUGGCAGCAAGCCGCACCUCCCAGUCAGCCAGGGAAUCAGGAGAGUAAACAACCAAUACACUUAUAACCACUCUGUACCCAUACAGUCAUUCUGUUUUUCACUUUCAGUACAGUAUUCCAUAAAUUCCAUGAGCUAUUCAGCAGUUUAUUAUAAAAUAGACUUAGUGUUAGAUGACUUUGCCCAACCAUAGACUAAUGCAAACGUUCUAAGCAUGUUUAGGGUAGGCCAGACUAAGCUAUGACGGUCAGGUUAGGUAUAAUAAAUGCAUUUUUGACUUACGGUAUUUUCUUUCUAUCUGUCUGUCUUUUUAGGGCCGCAUCUGCAGCAUAUGGAAGUUCCCUAGCUAGGCGUGGAAUCGGAGCUGUAGCCACCGGCCUAAGCCACAGCCACAGCCAACACCAGAUCUGAGCCGUGUCUGCGACCUACACCACAGCUCACGGCAACGCCGGAUCCUUAACCCACUGAGCGAGGCCAGGGAUCGAACCUGUGUCCUCAUGGAUACUAGACGGAUUUGUUUCCACUUAAGCCACGAAGGGAACUCCAAUAUUUUCAACUUACUAUGGGGUUUAUCAAGACAUAACCCCAUUGUAAGCUGAAGAAGAUCUGUAGUGAUAUUUGGGGCCAGGUGAUUCCUUGUUGAGAGAAUGUCCUGUGUACUGGCCUUGACUCAAUAGAUGCCAACAGCACCCUCCCCUGGUUGUGACAACCAAAAGUGUCUAUGGACAUUGCCAAAUGUUCUCUGGGGGGCAAAAUCGCCCCUGGUUGAACACCACUGUUCUAGCAUGAACAAUCAUCCUGUUUUUCAGGGGACAAAAGGCUUUCCUCAGAAGAGGACUUUCAGUGCUGAAAUCAGGAAACUCCUGGGCAAACUGGGACGAGUUGGUCACCGACCCUCCUCCCUUCCUCCCAACUAACUUCAAUGCCUCCACCUGCCAUCAAAACACAUUUCCUCCUCCACCGUCAGGGAUAUGAACAGGAGUUCCUCAUUGU